UGAAAAUCAGCCCAGCCCUCACCCUGCAGCUCUGGCACAGGAGCUCCAGCCCCAGCACUCCCAGGUGUCCACUCAGUGAUCGCACUCAACACAGACGCUCACCAUGGAGACUGGGCUGCGCUGGCUUCUCCUGGUCGCUGUGCUCAAAGGUGUCCAGUGUCAGGAGCAGCUGGAGGAGUCCAGGGGAGGCCUGGUCCAGGCUGGGAGAUCCCUGAAACUCUCCUGCAA